GAUCAUGGCUCAGGAUGAACGCUGGCGGCGUGCUUAACGCAUACAAGUCGAGCGAAGCACUUAGGAAAGAUUCUUCGGAUGAUUUCCUAAGUGACUGAGCGGCGGACGGGUGAGUAACGCGUGGGUAACCUGCCUCAUACAGGGGGAUAACAGUUAGAAAUGACUGCUAAUACCGCAUAAGGCCACAGCACCGCAUGGUGCAGGGGUAAAAACUCCGGUGGUAUGAGAUGGACCCGCGU
rnacentral:rRNA from 1 species